ACUGUACCUGGUUAGAGCUUAGAGGCCACUGGAUGGCCAAUGACUCACAAGUGUAGGUCGUACCAUGCAAAAGGGACAAGUCUUUUGCUAACACAAGGUCUCUGGCCCAAUGGUAGAGUUUGUUAGUAACUCGCUGCAGUU
rnacentral:snoRNA from 1 species